UGUGGCGAUGGAUGGAUCAUGUCCAGAUAUCAUGUUUUCCUCAUCGACUAUCUUUCCAAUUUAUUAUAUCUAACCCUUGCAUAUAUAUUACUUCCACCCACGAUUGCAUGAUCAUGUCAAGUUUCAGAAAUAAGAAAAAGGCUACUCGCCGGCCGGCACAAGUACCAGGAAGAACGAACAGUUUUGGCACGAGUUGAUCGCCACAACCACGGACUCGAGUCUGAAGUACCAUCAGAACCAUCAAGUGAUAUUUUUCCAGUUAAUUCUUAUUCGCAAAAUCUACUCAGUCAAAUAUUUUUUUUGGCUCAAGCUUUUAUUUACGCACACUUUUUUGCGCCGUAAUAUAACUGCAGAUCAGAACAAGCUUCGAUUACUUCGACAUCGCGCACACGCCUCGCUCGGCGGCUCGCCAUUGCCGUGGAUUAUCUUCUAUGGUUUUCAAUGAAUUUAUCUUCUAUGGUUAUAUAAAUGCUGACCCGAUGCACUUCCGGGUCAGUGGAUUCAUAUUUUAUGGUUAUCAGUGGAUUCAUAUUCUAUGGUUAUCAAUGGAUUUAUAUUAUAUAAUAUUGAACCGAUGCACCUCCGGUGGAUUCAUCUUUAAUACUUCAUCUUUAAUGAUGGAAUAUUCAAUGGUUUAAUCUUCAAACGGCUUCAUCUCCAAUGGUGUAAAUCUUCAGGGGAUUCAUAUUAGAUGAUCGUCAAUGGCUUUAUCCUAAAUGGCUUCAUCUUAUAUGGUUAUCGAGUGAGACAAUACAAAGCUGGCCUGAUGCGCCUCCUGGGAUCGACAACUUCAUCGAGCUUUUCUAUGGGAAGUCGUAAUUUUCGUCAUGAUCUAGGCGUGUGUGGUUAUGAUUUUCUAGAUGAAACAAAAAAACAGGUGCUAUUCAUCCAUUUAAUGGCCUUGUCUUGUAAAUUUAGUUAUGUCAUCGAAUUUUCUCCACUUGGUAUUAUUUUUGUACA